UCCCUGAUAGCUCAGCAGGUAAAGAAUCUGCCUGCAAUGCAGGAGACCCUGGUUCAAUUCCUGGCUCAGGAA
rnacentral:tRNA from 1 species